UACGUAGGGGGCAAGCGUUGUCCGGAAUCAUUGGGCGUAAAGAGCGUGUAGGCGGCCCGAUAAGUCCGCCGUGAAAGUCCAGGGCUCAACCCUGGAAUGCCGGUGGAUGCUGUCGGGCUAGAGUCCGGAAGGGGCGAGUGGAAUUCCUGGUGUAGCGGUGAAUGCGCAGAUAAUCAGGAGGAACACCGAUGGCGAAGGCAGCUCGCUGGGACGGUACUGACGCUGAGACGCGAAAGCGUGGGGAGCAAACAGG
rnacentral:rRNA from 1 species